rnacentral:rRNA from 1 species
AAAUUCUGCCCUAUGAAUAUUUAAAUGGCUGCAGUAUUUUGACUGUACAAAGGUAGCAUAAUAAUUAGUCUUUUAAUUGAGGACUAGAAUGAAAGAUUAAAUGAGAAAUUUAUUUUAUUAUUUUUAUUUUUUUAAUUUAAUUUAUGGGUAAAAAAGCUUAUUUUUUCUUUUGGGACGAAAAGACCCUAUAGAACUUUAUUUAAUUGGAAUUAUUUUUUUUUAAUUUUUAAUUUAUUAAUUUAAAUUAAAUUUUGUUGGGGUGAUAAAUAAAAAAAUCUUUAUUUAAUUUUUUCAUUAAUUUAUGAUUGUUAUUGAUUUAAUUUUUAAUUAAAAGAUUAAGUUACCUUAGGGAUAACAGCGUAAUUUUUAUGGGGAGUUCAUAUCUAUAUAAAAGUUUGCGACCUCGAUGUUGAAUUAAGGUAAAUUAUUAAAGAAGAAUUUAUUAAAUUAAGUCUGUUCGACUUUUAAAUCCUU